rnacentral:misc_RNA from 1 species
GGAGGUAAAAGUCGUAACAAGGUUUCCGUAGGUGAACCUGCGGAAGGAUCAUUACAGAGACAUUGCCCUUUGGGGUAGAUCUCCCACCCUUUGUUUACAUUACCUUUGUUGCUUUGGCAGGCCUGUCUUUUGACUACCGGCUUAGGCUGGUCCGCGCCUGCCAGAAGACCCUAAACUCUUGAUUUUUGGUGUUGUCUGAGCAGUAUUAUAAUAAGUUAAAACUUUCAACAACGGAUCUCUUGGUUCUG